GGCGGUAUAGCCAAGUGGUAAGGCAAUAGUUUGCAAAAUUAUGUAUCCCCAGUUCGAAUCUGGGUGCCGCCU
rnacentral:tRNA from 1 species